CGGCGGACGGGUGAGUAAUGCCUAGGAAUCUGCCUGGUAGUGGGGGAUAACGUUCGGAAACGGACGCUAAUACCGCAUACGUCCUACGGGAGAAAGCAGGGGACCUUCGGGCCUUGCGCUAUCAGAUGAGCCUAGGUCGGAUUAGCUAGUUGGUGGGGUAAUGGCUCACCAAGGCGACGAUCCGUAACUGGUCUGAGAGGAUGAUCAGUCACACUGGAACUGAGACACGGUCCAGACUCCUACGGGAGGCAGCAGUGGGGAAUAUUGGACAAUGGGCGAAAGCCUGAUCCAGCCAUGCCGCGUGUGUGAAGAAGGUCUUCGGAUUGUAAAGCACUUUAAGUUGGGAGGAAGGGCCAUUACCUAAUACGUGAUGGUUUUGACGUUACCGACAGAAUAAGCACCGGCUAACUCUGUGCA
rnacentral:rRNA from 1 species